ACCAGCUCGAAGGCUACGAAUGCUCAUCUCGUACAGGUUGCUCUGCAUCCACACUUCUGAGCGGGCUAAGGUCUGAGUAUUCCCCUGGUUACUAGGUAGAGAAUAACCCCUCCGUCACCUAUGCGUAUGAGGCGUACGACGGAUUGUAUAGAUGGCACUGGUUUGUCCUUGAGUUCACUUCGUGGCUCGCGUAUCCUUCGUGGAUCGUGAAACUCGAUUCAGACUACUCUGGGGCUGGU
rnacentral:RNase_P_RNA from 2 species